GAAAAGGGCAAGGAUCGGGGAUGUUUUAACUUUAGACUUCCUAAAAAUACACAAAAGAUGAAGACAAUCUGAGAGAGCUCUGAGUGGGGGUGAGCUGACCAUGUCCAUGGAUGAGCAAGAAGACCACGGUGGUCGCCAUUCUCGAGCUUCAGCCUCUCGGCGCACUCGUUCCCAGGUAGCUCCCGACUGGUCCUCCCAAGAAUCCCUCACCCUUAUCACCGAGAUCGCCGCCGUCGAACACGACUGUCGCAACACUCUCUUCUCUUUCCAAAAAUGGAAGAUCAUCGUUGAGAAUUGCAACUCCUUGGAAGUCUUCCGUACCCUCAACCAGUGUCGCCGUAAAUGGGACUCCCUUCUCUCCGAUUACAAGAAGAUCAAGCUCUGGGAAUCGUCCGAGUCCCAGGUCGAAUCGUACUGGUCGAUUGAUUAUGAGCGAAGACGCGAAUUUGGGUUUCCUGAGGAUUUUGAUUUCGAGGUGUUUAAAGCCAUUGAUGAUCAUUUGAAGGUGGGUGAUGGGUCGGAUACUGACCCGGAUGUUGAUCCUGAAGCUGUCGCCGAUGGAGUGGCCAAGCCUGAUCUGAAGAAGCAAAGGCGCCGAGUGAUGCCUCAGAAACGCAGCACAGAGGAAAGGGUGACACCUCAGAAACGUAAGAUAAAUAAAAAGAUAAUGCCAGAGCAAGGCAGAGUAGAAAAAAAGGGUAAAGCCUUUGAAACACAGCAAAGAUGAGAAGAUAUUGCUUAAGAACAACAUGGAAGAGAAGGAGCAAAUGAUGGCUGCAAAACUAUAUGAGAAUACGGAAUUGAUCACUGACUUACUUAAAGGAGUCCUGGGUGAGAGUUCAGACUGUCUCUUGGCUGAUCUAAAAAACGUCAAGAAUUCGCAGACUGAUUUCACUAGGCAUCGAGGUGACAGACUUAUCACAUGCCUUGGGAAUCUUGCAGACACACUUGACCAGCUUUGUGAUAUAGUCCAAGAAUGUGGUUAGUUUUCAAUAAAGAUCAAUGUAAAUGAGUUUAGUUCAAAGCUAGAGGAUCAUCUGAAGAAUUUGAAACUGUUGGAUGCAUUUGGAUUCUUAAAAUUGAAUCAUUCCAUCAUGAUUCUCAACUCAACAAGCCAUAGUCCUAUUUACUUGGGGUCAGUUAAUUGGAUACAUUUCCUCCAAUUGGCUUUAUCCACUGUCAUAUCGUCAGUUAAAAGUUUAAGAUAAUCAUGUAUUUUCUUAUCCCAUUAUGUCUUAAUCUCUCUUUGAAUAUCACCAUUGUUCUUGUAUGUUGGAACUAAUGGACUUUUUCUUCAACUCAUCAAGCAUUUCUUGUAAUGCAUCUUUCUAAACAAAUUAGUCAACCAAACUGUCCCUUCAUCACUCGAAACACUUUCAAAUUUCAAUGGGAAUUGCAUUUGGUCUA